CCUACGGGAGGCUGCAGUGGGGAAUAUUGGGCAAUGGGCGAAAGCCUGACCCAGCAACGCCGCGUGAAGGAAGAAGGCUUUCGGGUUGUAAACUUCUUUUGACAGGGAAGAGCAGAAGACGGUACCUGUCGAAUAAGCCACGGCUAACAACGUGCCAGCAGCCGCGGUAAUACGUAGGUGGCAAGCGUUGUACGGAUUUACUGGGGGUAAAGGGCGUGUAGCCGGGCUGACAAGUCAGAUGUGAAAUCCGGGGGCUCAACCCCCGAACUGCAGUUGAAACUGUUGGUCUUGAGUAUCGGAGAGGCAGGCGGAAUUCCUAGUGUAGCAGUGAAAUUCGUAGAUAUUAGGAGGAACACCAGUGGCGAAGGCGGCCUGCUGGACGACAACUGACGGUGAGGCGCGAAAGCGUGGGGAGCAAACAGGAUUAGAUACCCGAGUAGUC
rnacentral:rRNA from 1 species